GUGACAUAUAUAAAUUUUGUCUUAUAGACAUAUGUACAAUUGAUAGUGUUUAAUUGUGUCCAAAAUAAUCCUUGGGUAGUGAGCAAAUCUGUAUACAAAGUUAGAAAGGGUUCCCUAAUUAAUAAUGAACAUCUAUAGAGCACGGAUAGUGCUUUCAGUAAUUGAAGGGAAAUUAACGGUUGUGUCGCCCAGUGGUACAAGGUUAUUGAUAGGAUACGUAGAUAGAUGAACGGGGGUCGGCUGGACAACUAAUUAUACUAAUAGAAGAACAUUUAAUAGAAAUGUACAUAAUUAUCAUUUCUAAAGAAUAUUUAAUUAGAAUUUUAAUCGAAAACAUUAAAAUAUAAGUAGAAAAUCAACAGCAUGACCAGUUUUAUUGUUGUAAAGCAGCAAUGCUUGUUAAGAUUACAUUAUAGUUGUUGUGCUGAAGUGCGUUUGCUCCAGAGAUGUAGAUAUUAUUUUUAAACUUGAUUCAAAACAUCUGAUAGAAUCAUUGACAUCGGAGAAAUCUGUUAAGUACAUUACAGAAUUAGCCCAAGCGUUCGCAAAAAAGGCAGCAGAGACUUUCAUCAAUGAAAUUAAAAAUAAGAAACAUCUCUUUAAUAAGAAACGUAAGAAAAGAUCCAAACUAGUUAAAGUGGACAGAGUGCAGAAAAUAAUGGAAUCUAAGUACCAUGACGAGGAUGUUUUGACUGAAGGGGAAGCAUUCAAAUUACUGGAGAAACCUUCACCAGACGGCGACAACUUGGACUGGCACGCCCCCCAAGACCUGACCGCGGAAAUGGAAAAUACAGAAGAGCCCAAGACCAAGAAGAAAAGAAUCCCAGUGUAUGGAUUGAAGAAGGUUAAUGGUAUCUAUGUCAGAAGGUUUUUAGGACUUUUAUAAUAAACUAAAUCGCUUUUACACUA